rnacentral:tRNA from 1 species
GCGAGCGUAGCUCAAUGGUAGAGCCUCAGUCUUCCAAACUGAUUACGCGGGUUCGAUUCCCGUCGCUCGCUCC